rnacentral:tRNA from 2 species
CGGGAUGUAGCUCAGUCUGGUAGAGUACUUGAAUGGGGUUCAAGUGGUCGAAAGUUCGAAUCUUUUCAUCCCGA